rnacentral:misc_RNA from 1 species
CAAAAAUUAUAUAUCUAAAAUAAUUGAAACUUGAAGAUAUGAAAGUACAGUUUAUAAUAUUAAAGCAAGCGGUUAAAGUAUGUACAACCAAGGAACAAGAAAGACCUGUAUUAUCAGGCUCAACAUUCAACUCCUUAACUACUCCAUCAUCAAGAAGCAUAGAAUAUCGUUUACUUCUUUUUCCACCCAGUACUGGUAAAUCUACUGACAGUUCCAUUGCAUCUGUAAAUUGAGCUGCUGGAUCUGCCAGCAUACGUACCUGUACAAGAAAGUAUAAAAUUUACUGAUAAAAAUGGUGUUACAUACAAAAUAUAUAAAAUAAAUAAAAUAUAAUCUUACUUUUCCUUCUGCUCCGUGUUCUUUACCCCACGCUGCCAUUACAAACGGAUCAUUUACAGAAAUACAAAAAAUUUCUGCAAUUCCUUUAGAUUUUAAUUCGCCAGCUUUCUGUAUAUAACCAGGAAGAUGUGUCUAAAAUAAUAUCAAAUUUUUAAAUAUAAUAUCCACUAUACUAUUUCUUUUAAAUACAAAAGUAAAUGU